UAAACUAUAAGGAUUUUAAAUAAGUAUACCCGAAAUAAAUAGAUCAAAAAAGUUAUAGGAUUUUGAAUUAAAGUUAAAUAUGUAGCAUAAUAUAAUUUUAAUAACUUUUUAGAGGUGAUAUACCACCAAUUUUUAUGAUAGCUGGAUUAAGGAGAAAAGUAUUAAGUACUUAAAACAAUUAUAAAGUGAUAAGAUUUUAUAGUAUAAAUAAGUUGUUUUUUAGAUUAACCAGGGCUAACCCCCUAAAAGUUGGUAAUUCAUAUCAUAUUUUAAAUGUGUCUUUUUAUGUUUACCUUUAAACUAAAGCUAAUUAGAAGCUUAAGUUUAUAAUGUUUAAAUUAGUAUUUUUAUGUAAAUUUUAUUAAGGAACUCGGCAAAUAUUAUAUUCGACUGUUUAACAAAAACAUAGUCCGUUGCUAUUUAUAAUGGAUAUAGCCUGCCCGGUGAUUUUAUUUAACGGCCGCAGUACCUUGACUGUGCGAAGGUAGCAUAAUAAUUUGGCCUUUAAAUGGGGUCUAGAAUGAAAGGAUUUACGAAUAGCAGCUGUCUUCAUUUUAAUUAAAGAAAACUUAUUUAAAAGGUGCAAAUACCUUUAUUUUAAUAUAAUAGACGAGAAGACCCUUAGAAUUUAAUUUAAAAUAAACAAUAUUUAUUUUGAUUUUGUUGGGGCAACAAAGCAGCAAAUAUUUAAUCUGCUUUUUUGAUAUUGAGAUAGGCCGACUAUUAGUAUGAACAUAUAAAUUACCUUAGGGAUAACAGCAUAAUUUAAUAAAGAUUGUGACCUCGAUGUUGGAUUAGGGCCAUAAUAAUUUAACCAAUUAAUAUGUCAGUUCUGUUCGAACUCUAUUACCUACAUGAUCUGAGUUCA
rnacentral:rRNA from 1 species